rnacentral:rRNA from 1 species
CCUACGGGAGGCAGCAGUGAGGAAUAUUGGUCAAUGGACGAGAGUCUGAACCAGCCAAGUAGCGUGAAGGAUGACUGCCCUAUGGGUUGUAAACUUCUUUUAUAUGGGAAUAAAACGUUCCACGUGUGGGAUUUUGUAUGUACCAUAUGAAUAAGGAUCGGCUAACUCCGUGCCAGCAGCCGCGGUAAUACGGAGGAUCCGAGCGUUAUCCGGAUUUAUUGGGGUUAAAGGGAGCGUAGGUGGAUUGUUAAGUCAGUUGUGAAAGUUUGCGGCUCAACCGGAAAAUUGCAGUUGAAACUGGCAGUCUUGAGUACAGUAGAGGUGGGCGGAAUUCGUGGUGUAGCGGUGAAAUGCUUAGAUAUCACGAAGAACUCCGAUUGCGAAGGCAGUUCACUGGACUGCAACUGACACUGAGGCUCGAAAGUGUGGGUAUCAAACAGGAUUAGAUACCCUAGUAGUC